CUUUAAAGAUAAGGCGUAUAUUCACCAAAGUAUUAAGAUAAACAAUUUGAAGAACAAUGUGGUUAACUCUUAUUACGUUUAUGAAAGCUUAACAGCUUGGCCCUGCUGAUAUGCUGAUAACAAAGUACAUUUCAACACAACGAGCGAUUCUUCCUUAUUAAAAAAAGAACCAACAAUUGUGGAUACAAUUGUGCACUAUACAGGAACUGAACUCAAAGAUUGAGUGGGGUAAAGGAAAACCAUGAAGAUGCUACUUCUGUUAGUGUUGUUUAAAUGUCUAUAUACGUCAUAUGCUAUUGACUGCUAUUACUGUGCGGAUAUAACAGAUCCCUCCGAUUGUCACAGCGUUAAAUAUUGUCCAAACAGCACGUUCUGUUUCAUCGAAAGUAAUGGAUCUGGAAAUAACAAAACUUAUACUAUGGGAUGUGAUACUACUUCUGUAAGAU